rnacentral:rRNA from 1 species
AGAGUUUGAUCAUGGCUCAGGAUGAACGCUAGCGGCAGGCCUAACACAUGCAAGUCGAGGGGUAACAGAAGAGCUUGCUCUUGCUGACGACCGGCGCACGGGUGCGUAACGCGUAUACAAUUUGCCUUGUACUGGAGGAUAGCCCGGAGAAAUUCGGAUUAAUACUCCAUAGUAUUUACGAAUCGCAUGAUUUGUAUCUUAAAGUUUCGGCGGUACAAGAUAAGUAUGCGUCCUAUUAGCUAGAUGGUAAGGUAACGGCUUACCAUGGCAACGAUAGGUAGGGGGCCUGAGAGGGUUAUCCCCCACACUGGUACUGAGACACGGACCAGACUCCUACGGGAGGCAGCAGUGAGGAAUAUUGGUCAAUGGAGGCAACUCUGAACCAGCCAUGCCGCGUGAAGGAAGAAUGUCCUACGGAUUGUAAACUUCUUUUAUUUGGGAAGAAACCCCUCUACGUGUAGAGGGCUGACGGUACCAAACGAAUAAGGACCGGCUAACUCCGUGCCAGCAGCCGCGGUAAUACGGAGGGUCCAAGCGUUAUCCGGAAUCAUUGGGUUUAAAGGGUUCGCAGGCGGUGAUUUAAGUCAGUGGUGAAAUCCCAUAGCUCAACUAUGGNAACUGCCAUUGAUACUGAAUCACUUG